UUAAUUACAAUUAGUUUUUAUGAGGUGUUCUUUGUGAAGUCUAUAAACAGAAGAAGUAGUAAACUGAAGAAGUGAGUGACUAACAUUUUUAAACAUGUUCUCUGUGUGUGUGUGUGCUAUUUUAGAAACAUUCAUUAGACUUUGCAAACGCAAGGAAAACCCUGUUAAUUCCAUCUGGAAAAAAGCGUCUGCUAAGUCACAGCAAUGCUAAAUGAUGAGAAUAACAAACCAUACGAUCCUGAAAGUGUUUUUGCAAUUGAGGUUAAGAACUCCGAUACCCCACGGUGAUGCACCUCAAUAUUGUUCUGGUCUCUAAGAAGUAAGAUUUUCUUCUCAUUUCUCAGGUGGCUCUUUGCCCUAAUGCUUUUUAAAAUUCUUAUUUUGUAUGCCAUUUAUUUCUGCGCAUGUUGUAUGCUGUGUGUGUAACUGUGGUGUUUGUUACAACAAAAAAAUUGUAUAAAGACAAAAUGGUCAAAAUUGAUGAUAAAGCAAUUGCUUUUUAGUACAACAUUUCUUUUUUGCAGGGACAAGCAUAGGUGUCAUUUGCACUGGGGACACUGGGGAUAUGUCCCUACCACUUCUUUAAAUUGCUGAUUUUGUCCCCAUCACUUUUUGAAAGCAUUUUGUUACGGCUGCCACCGCACCCCACCUGUAUUUGCCUGUGCUUUUAAGUAGGCUAUCUAUUAUGCUGAGCAGGCUGUGCAAGCCCACGCGGAGGAUUGGCUGCACAAGGAGAGAAGGUCCCGCCUACUUCCUGGGUUUCCAGUUACCAUGCCCUCGAUUGGUGCGGCAUGCUCUACGGGCCAAUCAGAUGAAGACCGUGACGACCACCACCUGCUUAAAAGCCUGCCGGGUCUGCCAUUCCAGGCAGCAAUUUGACCUGAGUUGCUUGCCUUGGGAAUGCCUGUUGUAGAGCUCAUAGUAGUGUUUUGUACCCUGUGCUAGACUUUGUGUCUUGACUUUGUGUGAUUCACUGUGUGAAGACACCUCGGGACGUAACAAUUUGUUAAACGUUCUGAAAAUACCUUGCACCAAAAAAGUGACGCCCUUGGGGACAAGUGUUGCUGUGACACGGGUUUAAAGAGAUCUGGAUGCAGAAAUUGAUUGUACUUGCAGGGUAGUGACUAGUUCUCACAUCAAGGAAAGCAUAAAAGAAUCUUGUGGAACCUGUUGGUGAAGACGUCUGAACCUAAUGUCAAACUACGCUCUUAAACAAAACACAAUAAAAAGCAACAAACUGGAAAUUCGUUUUUGUGCGGUCAUACAUUCUGCAUUAAAUCUUUUGUACACAUUGA